UACGUAGGGUGCAAGCGUUGUCCGGAAUUAUUGGGCGUAAAGAGCUCGUAGGCGGUUCGUCGCGUCGGCUGUGAAAACCCGGAGCUCAACUCCGGGCCUGCAGUCGAUACGGGCGGACUCGAGUUCGGCAGGGGAGACUGGAAUUCCUGGUGUAGCGGUGAAAUGCGCAGAUAUCAGGAGGAACACCGGUGGCGAAGGCGAGUCUCUGGGCCGAUACUGACGCUGAGGAGCGAAAGCGUGGGGAGCGAACAGG
rnacentral:rRNA from 1 species